rnacentral:rRNA from 1 species
GACAGAGGAUGCAAGCGUUAUCCGGAAUGAUUGGGCGUAAAGCGUCUGUAGGUGGCUUUUCAAGUCCGCCGUCAAAUCCCAGGGCUCAACCCUGGACAGGCGGUGGAAACUACCAAGCUGGAGUACGGUAGAGGCAGAGGGAAUUUCCGGUGGAGCGGUGAAAUGCAUUGAGAUCGGAAAGAACACCAACGGCGAAAGCACUCUGCUGGGCCGACACUGACACUGAGGCACGAAAGCCAGGGGAGCGAACGGG